rnacentral:snRNA from 1 species
AAAUGUGAUCUUUAGUAUUUCUCCAGUAGGUUUUCCUGAAGGAGGAAAGCCUCC